rnacentral:rRNA from 1 species
GAUGAACGCUGGCGACGUGCUUAACACAUGCAAGUCGAACGGUGAAGGCGGAGCUUGCUCUGCUGGAUCAGUGGCGAACGGGUGAGUAACACGUGAGCAAUCUGCCCCUGACUCUGGGAUAAGCGCUGGAAACGGCGUCUAAUACUGGAUACGAGCUGCGAAGGCAUCUUCAGCAGCUGGAAAGAACUUCGGUCAGGGAUGGGAUCGCGGCCUAUCAGCUUGUUGGUGAGGUAACGGCUCACCAAGGCGUCGACGGGUAGCCGGCCUGAGAGGGUGACCGGCCACACUGGGACUGAGACACGGCCCAGACUCCUACGGGAGGCAGCAGUGGGGAAUAUUGCACAAUGGGCGAAAGCCUGAUGCAGCAACGCCGCGUGGGGGACGACGGCCUUCGGGUUGGAAACCUCUUUUAGCAGGGAAGAAGCGAAAGUGACGGUACCUGCAGAAAAAGCGCCGGCUAACUACGUG